GGAGAGGUGCCGGAGCGGUCGAACGGGACGGUCUCGAAAACCGUUGUACCCGCAAGGGUACCGUGGGUUCGAAUCCCACCCUCUCCGCCA
rnacentral:tRNA from 1 species